GACGAACGCUGGCGGCGUGCUUAACACAUGCAAGUCGAACGGAAAGGCCCUGCUUUUGUGGGGUGCUCGAGUGGCGAACGGGUGAGUAACACGUGAGUAACCUGCCCUUGACUUUGGGAUAACUUCAGGAAACUGGGGCUAAUACCGGAUAGGAGCUCCUGCUGCAUGGUGGGGGUCGGAAAGUUUCGGCGGUUGGGGAUGGACUCGCGGCUUAUCAGCUGGUUGGUGGGGUAGUGGCUUACCAAGGCUUUGGCGGGUAGCCGGCCUGAGAGGGUGACCGGCCACAAUGGGCCUGAGGUACGGCCCAGACUCGAACGGGAGGCAGCAGUGGGGAAUAUUGCACAAUGGGCGGGAGCGUGAUGCGGAAACGCCGCGUGCGGGAUGACGGCCUUCGGGUUGUAAACCGCUUUCGCCUGUGACGAAGCGUGAGUGACGGUAAUAGGUGAAGAAGCACCGGCUAACUACGUG
rnacentral:rRNA from 1 species